rnacentral:rRNA from 1 species
UACGUAGGGUGCGAGCGUUAAUCGGAAUCACUGGGCGUAAAGGGUGCGUAGGCGGGUCUUUAAGUCAGGGGUGAAAUCCUGGAGCUCAACUCCAGAACUGCCUUUGAUACUGAAGAUCUUGAGUUCGGGAGAGGUGAGUGGAACUGCGAGUGUAGAGGUGAAAUUCGUAGAUAUUCGCAAGAACACCAGUGGCGAAGGCGGCUCACUGGCCCGAUACUGACGCUGAGGCACGAAAGCGUGGGGAGCGAACAGG